CGAAGGGUGCAAGCGUUAAUCGGAAUUACUGGGCGUAAAGCGCGCGUAGGUGGUUCAGUAAGUUGGAAGUGAAAUCCCCGGGCUCAACCUGGGAACUGCUUUCAAAACUGCUGAGCUAGAGUACGGUAGAGGGUGGUGGAAUUUCCUGUGUAGCGGUGAAAUGCGUAGAUAUAGGAAGGAACACCAGUGGCGAAGGCGACCACCUGGACUGAUACUGACACUGAGGUGCGAAAGCGUGGGGAGCAA
rnacentral:rRNA from 1 species